UGGCCAGACUCCUACGGGAGGCAGCAGUGGGGAAUAUUGCACAAUGGGGGAAACCCUGAUGCAGCAACGCCGCGUGAGUGAAGAAGUAUUUCGGUAUGUAAAGCUCUAUCAGCAGGGAAGAAGAAAGACGGUACCUGACUAAGAAGCCCCGGCUAACUACGUGCCAGCAGCCGCGGUAAUACGUAGGGGGCAAGCGUUAUCCGGAUUUACUGGGUGUAAAGGGAGCGUAGACGGCUGUGCAAGUCUGAAGUGAAAGCCCGUGGCUCAACCGCGGAACUGCUUUGGAAACUGUAUAGCUUGAGUACUGGAGAGGCAGGCGGAAUUCCUAGUGUAGCGGUGAAAUGCGUAGAUAUUAGGAAGAACACCAGUGGCGAAGGCGGCUUACUGGACAGUAACUGACGUUGAGGCUCGAAAGCGUGGGGAGCAAACAGGAUUAGAUACCCGCGUACA
rnacentral:rRNA from 1 species